rnacentral:rRNA from 1 species
AGCGGCGUAAGGGACAGUAAUGUAUAGGUACGUACCCUUGGGUCUAGGAUAGCUGCGGGAAACUGCAAUUAAUACUAGAUGAUGUCUUCGGACCAAAGGUGUGAUUCCACCCAAGGAGCGGCCUAUAUCCUAUUAGCUAGUUGGGGAGGUGACGGCUCACCAAGGCGAUGAUGGGUAGCAGGUGUGAGAGCACGACCUGCGUCACUGGGACUGAGACACUGCCCAGACACCUACGGGUGGCUGCAGUCGAGAAUAUUCGGCAAUGGGCGAAAGCCUGACCGAGCGACGCCGCGUGCGGGAUGAAGGCCUUCGGGUUGUAAACCGCUGUCGGGGGGGAUGAAAUAUCAGUGGGUUCUCCCAUUGAUUUGACAGAUCUCCGGAGGAAGGGUGGGCUAAGUUCGUGCCAGCAGCCGCGGUAAGACGUACCACCCAAACGUUAUUCGGAAUCACUGGGCUUAAAGAGUCCGUAGGCGGCUCGGAAAGUUGGGUGUGAAAUACCUCGGCUCAACCGAGGAACUGCACUCAAAACUACCAAGCUUGAGAGAGACAGAGGUAAGCGGAACUGAUGGUGGAGCGGUGAAAUGCGUUGAUAUCAUCAGGAACACCGGUGGCGAAAGCGGCUUACUGGGUCUCUUCUGACGCUGAGGGACGAAAGCUAGGGGAGCGAACGGGAUUAGAUACCCCGGUAGUCCUAGCCUUAAACGAUGAGCACUAGAUCGAAGG